CUGCGGUGUAAUUAUCGGUGUGCUACUGUUUAUGAGCCUUGGUCAUUUCACAAAGUGUCCAGGGAUUCCUGCAAUCAGUGUGAAGAGCCAACACAUCCCAGAAAUGAGCAUGACAUCUCCGAUCCCGGACCACAACAAGCAAAAUAGCGAUACCUUAAAGCAUGAGAUACAAUAUUACUUGGAGUGAAUUCCGAGAUGUGUCCUAGAUCAAAG